rnacentral:rRNA from 1 species
UACGGGGGGGGCGAGCGUUGUUCGGAAUUACUGGGCGUAAAGGGUUUGUAGGUGGCUGGCUAAGUCAGACGUGAAAUCCCUCGGCUCAACCGGGGAACUGCGUCUGAGACUGGCGAGCUCGAGUGCAGGAGAGGAACGCGGAAUUCCAGGUGUAGCGGUGAAAUGCGUAGAUAUCUGGAGGAACACCGGUGGCGAAGGCGGCGUUCUGGACUGCAACUGACACUGAAAAACGAAAGCCAGGGGAGCAAACGGG